UACAGAGGUCUCAAGCGUUGUUCGGAUUCAUUGGGCGUAAAGGGUGCGUAGGUGGCGCUGUAAGUCGGGUGUGAAAUUUCGGAGCUUAACUCCGAAACUGCAUUCGAUACUGCGGUGCUUGGGGACUGGAGAGGAGACUGGAAUUCAUGGUGUAGCAGUGAAAUGCGUAGAGAUCAUGAGGAAGACCAGUGGCGAAGGCGGGUCUCUGGACAGUUCCUGACACUGAGGCACGAAGGCCAGGGGAGCAAACGGG
rnacentral:rRNA from 1 species